UUGCAUCCAUUGAUAGACCAUAAGCUUACCCAGUUGCUUUUUGGUUUGCACAGAGAUGCAAUAUAAACGUUCCUCGCGCUUUCUGACUGUCUGGUAAUGUGACUUAUCAGAUUGAAUAGGGGAAUACAUAG